GAUGAAGAACGCAGCGAAAUGCGAUAAGUAAUGUGAAUUGCAGAAUUCAGUGAAUCAUCGAAUCUUUGAACGCACAUUGCGCCCGCCAGUAUUCUGGCGGGCAUGCCUGUUCGAGCGUCAUUUCAACCCUCAAGACCCCUUCGGGGGACUUGGUGUUGGGGACCGGCACAGGGGCCUGCCUGCUUGUCUUGCAGCGCCCUCGCCGCCCCCGAAAUGAAUUGGCGGCCUCGUCGCGGCCUCCCCUGCGUAGUAGCACAAACCUCGCAACGGGAACGUGACGGCGGCCACUGCCGUAAAACAACCCAAUUUUAUUAGAGUUGACCUCGAUUCAGGUAGGAAUACCCGCUGAACUUAAGCAUAUCAAUAAGCGGAGGA
rnacentral:misc_RNA from 1 species